UUAGGAAUAUUGGACAAUGGGGGCAACCCUGAUCCAGCCAUGCCGCGUGAGUGAAGAAGGCCUUCGGGUUGUAAAACUCUUUUAUAUGGGAAGAUGAUGACGGUACCAUAGGAAUAAGCACCGGCUAACUUCGUGCCAGCAGCCGCGGUAAUACGAAGGGUGCAAGCGUUGUUCGGAUUUACUGGGCGUAAAGGGCAUGUAGGCGGUUAUUUUAGUAAGGGGUGAAAUCCCGGGGCUCAACCUCGGAAUUGCCUUUUAAACGGGAUGACUAGAGAGCUAGAGGGGAUAAUGGAAUACCCAGUGUAGAGGUGGAAUUCGUAGAUAUUGGGUAGAACACCGGUGGCGAAAGCGAUUAUCUGGCUAGCAACUGACGCUGAGAUGCGAAAGCGUGGGGAUCAAACA
rnacentral:rRNA from 1 species